UAUUUGAUAUUGUGUUUAUUUUGAUUGGCUUGUAAUAAUACUAUUUCGGAUGUGGAACUAUUUUCUAUGUUUGCUUUGAACUAUUUGCUGCAUGUUGAUCUCGAACGGAUGAGAUGCGGCCAAAAUACGUCCACGCAUUGGGCGCACGGCCGGUGCAUCCACAAAUCCGGACCGAUGCGGCCCCAUUGCCACCCCCAAACGGAUAAAAAGCGGACGAAACAGACGUCUGUUUGGGGUCGUGCGUUGGAGUUGGCCCAAGGCUCCAUCUUACGUCAUUCUUCGUCCCCACCACCUCUUAGUCCGUGAAUUUAUUAUGGUAGGUUGUUUCUUAGAUCAUGGUUAAUAGUAUAGCCAACUGUCGGCCAUAAGAAGUUGCCAUGUCAUAUAUAGUCGACCUAAUAGUUAACACGUACUCCCUCCGUUCGGAAAUACAUGUCAUAGGAAUGGAUGUACCUGUUAGAGUUAUAAUAUAAGUCAUGUACCCUUUUGUAUUUAUCCCAAUAUAUAAGGGGUUUCCUGCAUAUAGUCCACCACCUGUACAUGUAUAUAUACUGGCCUAUGGCCUCAUGGGAAUACAAGUUGCUUAUUCCUAACAUGGUAUUAGAGCUAGGUUAACUUUUGCACGCCGCAACUCGUGCUGUUGAUCCGCUCCUCCUC
rnacentral:lncRNA from 1 species